rnacentral:lncRNA from 1 species
CGGCUAAACAUUUUAUCAGUAUUCACUAAUUUUGCAACAAAUUCAAUUAUCAAUACCAGCUUAAUUCCUGAUGAAUGGAGAACAUCAGACGUUUGUAUAUUUGCGCUUUGCAUUCUCUCUAAGGUGCUCUAACAUAUAGUAUGCUCCAACAUAAUGCGUAACCCGCGGGAUUAUUACAAUUUCAUCAAUGCUUUUAGUAAAUAUCGCAGUUUAGUUUAUAUGUUGUGUUUUGUGUACUGUUGCUUGUCUGUUUGUCUAUUCGGUGUUUUUUUUUUAGUCUUUUGAUCUUUUUUGUGUUUUUAGUCAUAGCGUUGCCAGUUUAUUUUCGGCUUUCUAUCUCUAAUGAGUUUUUGUUUCUACCCCUGGUAGAUAUAUCUAUAUAUAUACAACUCGUCUAAACAUCAACCCAACAAUGUUAGAUCUGUAAAUUUGCUUUCGCAAUUUUUUUG